rnacentral:lncRNA from 1 species
AAAAAAAAAAAAAUAAGUCCAUUGUAGUUUCCACUGUGGUUCCUCUGUGGUCUGUUUCACAAGAAUGGAGGCUGGGACACCAUUGGUUCAGUCCUCAGUGAGCAUCUUCUGGGAACUUGCCAGCCCACGUGCACAAGAUCAAGGUGCCCUCACUUUCACCCGGAUGCAAGAGUGCACUGCAGGAGGGCCACACGGGGACCUAGCUGCACACUCUGAACUGGGUUCCUCUUGGACACCAGGCAUCCUUCUUAGAACUGAGACCUCAACAGUGAACGAGGUGGGAGUGAGAGCUCCAGCAGAAGAAGGCAGGAUACUCCGGUUGACUCAGUCUGCCCCCCACCUAUUCCCAGCCCUGAUGGCCUCAGCCUGCAGCCUGCACUGCCAAAGGCUGAGGCAUGUCCAGGCUGCUGUGGUCACCUGUACCAUUUUUCAAGGGGUUGCAAAAGCUGAACUCAACACAGGGCCUUAGUCAGUUUUUUAAAAUUAAAGUAUAAUUGAUUUACAAUGUUUCUUCAAUAUCUGUUGAAUAGCAAAAUAACUUAGUCACACUCUGCACUGUACAGGAGGGUCCUAUUGCCCAUCCAUUCCAAAUAUAAGAGUUUGCAUUAGUCAAUUUGGGUGUAACCUACUGAAAUCAACAUGACCUUGGCCUUUUUUCAUGGAUGUAGGUAAGGCACAUUAAAUUUUUUACUUUGCAAAUGAAAACGGGAAUAGAUUAACAGAAGAAAAAUAACAUAGACAGUCUUUUCCACCUCUCCCUGGGCUAACUAACCCAUAAGCUGAGCAAGUGGGAGAACCUUGAUGGGUGAUGCAUACAUGCUUUUGGUGUAAUUGGGUCUGUUUUCCGGUAAAGACAGCUGAACGCUAAAGUCUGAGCACUGUACUCUAAGAAAUCCCCACAGGCUUGUCAACUGAACCAAUGGGGGAACAGAGGCUCAGUAAAACUUGGGCAUAAUCUAUGCGUCAGAGUUGAUCAAAAUUAUGACUUGGAGGGGAUUUUAAUUAUGGAAAGCCAACCAAAACGCUAUCUUGAAAAACAAACUAUGACGUUGACAGUAUCGAGACACAAAGUGACACUGGCUGGCUUUAGCCGUCUCUUUGUCCAUUGUCCUUCCUUUGUCAAUAGGAGAAAUAAUUGGCCAUUUUAGCACAGAGCUGGGGACAAAGUUAGUAAAGGAAAUACUGAAGCUGCAGUUAAUGCCAAUCCUUUGAAAUUUUAGAAAGGCUACGGAAUGUAGAGAAUAUUGAGAAUUACAGAACAUAGAGAGGGAGAGAAGGAGGAUGAGAAGGAAGGGCGAUGAGAAAUCGUGAGAGAACUUAUGGGUUGAAAGAUAGCUUCCAUAGAGUCUGCAGGUUUGGUUUAGAAGACAGAGCUAGGAAGGAGG